UAAUGCCACAGAUAUAUCUAAAAUGUGAAUGAAGCUGGAAGCAGCAGAGGACCACACACCAUGAAAUGUAAACAGAGGAGAAAAAAGCUAGAUGCCAGACAGGAAGAGAAGAACCAGAAGAGCAGUCUUUACAAAUAGAGCAACACUAAUACUCCAAGAAGAUGGGCCAUGCUUAUCCUGAGUGUGCUCCCCAAAGAUGCCAGUCAGAAGCUGACAGUAUGGAAUGAAGGGCAGCACAGUUGGAAGGAGAUGUGGCUCGGAGAGCAGAGAGUAGAAGGUCCAGAGGUCCCUACCAACCUAACAGAUGAAAAUGCAAGGCUCUGGGAGGUCAGGUCUGGAGAUACAAACUUCAUGACUACCUGCAGUCAGAUACGAGUGGAAGCCACAUGAGGGAGAAGGGAGAGAAGCAGAGAGCAAAGGGCAAAAGAUUUGAUAAAUGUCCCUGAGGGGAGAAAAAAAAAAUCGGGUUAGAGAAGAAAGAAUCUAAGAGAAAAUGAGAAAACAUAGGUAAUGACAAGGAGUAACAGGAAAAAGACUUUGCAAAGGAGACGUCAGUAUAUGUGCACACUUUUUUCUCCUUACCUGUUCAUUCUUUUUCUGAACCCAUUC